CUGGAGAGACUGCACCUCCCGAGUCUAGUCAAUUUCUAGAGAUAGCAAACAACUUGCUUGCGAGUACACCUUCCACAUGCAAACCAACCCAUCCAGAGCCCAUUACCCACCCCACCCCAGCCACACACACUACAUCCUUUAUCAGAUUCUCACUCUCCAAGCAACUACCCACCUUCCCCAAUCUCCCAGAGCCAGACACUAGACAACUAGGGACAACCUGUGUGCCAUACAGCCGCUGAAAUUAUCCACACUAGCUAAUCCUAAACCCGCUUACCUGGCCCCACCUGUUCCUUGUCUCGGAACACAACAAAGAUUCUUGCUCAGGUUUCCCCCUCACUCUCUCUGCCUCCUGACGGAUGCUGCUACUUCCCCACGUGGUCCUGCAUGGUGUGGCACGCCCCCUCCCCUUCAAAAUUACUCAUCAUUCCAUAAAUAGCUGACAUUCUGUGUGCACCAGCUGGAUUCUUCACCUCUUCCUGGAGACAGUUCCAACCCAGGCAGCUAUAGGCCAGACUGGUGAAGCAGAAAGAAGGGAGAAAUUGGUCUUGAGGUUAGAAGCCCUCAGCCCCUGGCCACUACCUAUCAGCAGAAAAGGAAGCCAGCCAUGGAGUUCAACAUAGAGAAGAAAGAAGAAAUGAAAUCAGCUCAUCUCCCUAGUUCCCCCUAGGCCACUGCAAUGCAUCAGAGGAUGAAUCAGCUGGUUCUCUCCAUUUCUUUUCCUCUUGGUGGUAGUGGUAGAAAUGGGAGUGAGUAAGCCCUGUGGUACCCAGUGUGGUCACGGUUAAGGUCACAGCACACGGGCUGCAGUCCCCUCCCCUGUGUGGAUGCGAUCCACGUCCUCUAACACCUACCUUCUAACACCUAACACUCCCAACAUUCCCCUCCUGGAUUUGCCUCCCUCUUCCAAGUCCAAGUCUAAGCACAGUCAGGCUCAACCCCCAUCCUGGCCUGGCCAUGCCAGCCCCUAACCAGAGCAUAAGACACAUUUGUAACCACAUCUUGCAAUGUGAUUCACUCUGUCUGUGGAAAGACUGAUGCAAUUGUGGGUGAGGAGUCAUUUCUGCUGAUGAGGAAACCGCAGCAACCCAGUGGGGGUGAGAGGGCACUCCAUCAAGGCCAUCGGGACCCACCCUGAGGAAGGGCACAACCCAGGGCCCUCGGGCUUCCUGGAGUAGCCCAGCCACACCAUGCUGGGGCCAGAGAACAGAACCCAGUACACGGCUAUCCACUUACAGAGGUGCAGCCGGGCUACUGGCCAGCAAUUCCAGGGACAACCAGGAUAAUCCACCAUUAUCCCUGCACAGUACAGAGCAGCGUGUGUGACGUUCUUGGAGAAGGUCAGGUAACCAUGAGCAGCAAAAGCCUUCUCUAGGUGCUGAGUUCAAAGACUGGAGCCACCUUGCUGCUCACUGACACUGCACUGAAAGCAUCCUUGUCUGCCUCUAGAAUAAGCUCCCGCGGCCAGAGCAGGUGCCCAGGAAAGACUCUGAACUGGAUCUGAAAUCCCAGGGGCCCAACAGCCUCCAGGCUGUGACCUGUCCCUUCGGGCACACCUGCCUUGGGGACCGGACCCACUGCCCAUUUCCAAGGGCACAGAUGCCACAGAGCCCCGAUCAGCUUCCUGCUCGGUGAGCCCUGAGCUCGUCCUCCUGGCUAUGAGGGAUCAGGCCAGCGAACUCCCCUCUCGGGGCCACAGCAGCCCUCCCUCCUUGGAGCCCUGUGCCCGCUUCCAG